AACGUAGGUGGCGAGCGUUAUCCGGAAUUAUUGGGCGUAAAGCGCGCGCAGGCGGUCCUUUAAGUCUGAUGUGAAAGCCCACGGCUCAACCGUGGAGGGUCAUUGGAAACUGGGGGACUUGAGUGCAGAAGAGGAAAGCGGAAUUCCACGUGUAGCGGUGAAAUGCGUAGAGAUGUGGAGGAACACCAGUGGCGAAGGCGGCUUUCUGGUCUGUAACUGACGCUGAGGCGCGAAAGCGUGGGGAGCAAACAGG
rnacentral:rRNA from 1 species